UCAAACGUCAAAACACAUAGCACUUUUGCAAAACAAUUUAGAAAGUCCUAAAAUUCCGGGGAUUGCGGAUGAAUUAACUAAUAUUGGAUAGGAUAAUAUGUUAUCAGGAAAACCCGUAAUGUGCCAGCUUGCAGCGGCCUGGAAAGCCAACCCCAAGUAUGAUUACUUACAGUGCAGACUUUCAGGAUCAAGGAUAAAGAAAUUCUUUAGGAUUGUCAAGAAACCACUCAUAAAGUUUUGAAGAGAUAUGCCCAGCCCCAAAACCAAACGCCACGUCAACAAGCAUUCGGAUUACAUGUGCUAGAUAGUCUUGGAAGUACCGAUAUAUCGCGACCAUCAUUGAGCUCGAUGCACGUGAUUCCAAAGCUAAUGUCUUUCCAGAUAUAUUUGUCAUAAAACCAUAUAUCUACGUUAAACAAACUUCAGCCUAGUGAGAGGAUUGG